CUUGCUGGAGAUCCCUGUGUUGCUGAGGCCUUCUGAAGGGGGAAGAAACCACAAAUUCAGUCCUGUGAUAAAUCAGCUGUCAUUGUCUGGAUUAAGUUAAAUGACUGAGAAAACUGAGGGGAAAAGAGUGAACUUCAGGACGGGAAUCCUUAUUAAAAACAUCCUGGUGUGGUGGCAAGCCUCUUCCAAGUAUAAAUGUUAAAAAUCUGAACAACUUCAGCCUAUUAGUUUUGUUCAGUAGAAGGCUUACCUUCCAUUGAGCCAACCAUCCCGGAGCCUCUCUGUUAAUGCUGUGCAUGGAUGUGGUUUUAUCUCAGAGGAAAAAGCUGCUCCUGAUGUGGCCGGAGACUGUGGUGGUUCUUGGAUGUUCCUGAAUUACUUUUCCUCAAAGAUGAGAAAUGCAUAAAAAUAAAAUACAACAUGCAUCUACUCAGCAGAUCAGUUAGAGGAUUUCAAAUGCAUGCAAACUUCAGCAUCAUCACCAGAUCAUACUUGGCUCAUGAGCCAGACUGUGGAGCACUUUCUUAUCUGUAAUGGUGCUGCAAGCUGGCAUGUUCAAGGAGUUAAAAAUCAGUUGUUUAAGAUGCUGUGAAUUAUAGGCAAUGUUCUUUAUUUUGAAUAUUUACUCUUCAUAGCAUACAUUACAUAAAGUAUCUUAAAAGGUCACUUAAUUUAUCCAAAUUUCAACUUCAAAUGAGGCAAAUUGAUACGGCUGAAAAUUCUUUUGUUGGUUAUCCUUAGCCAAAUCUCUGUGCUUUGAGAAGACACCCUGUGACUGUCUUGAAUACAGUUUCUCCAAAUGAAAGGAGUAAAUCUAUUCCUGUCUGUUUGCUCACUCUAGAAUUCCUCUGAGAAUGGAUGGACUGGUAGUCAUUUAACGUCACCUUUAAUUCUGUGAUAUAUUUUAAUGGCUUAUAGAGAUGUUUAAGUUGUGUGAGGUUUAGAUAAUAACACUGCACUUUGUUUUUAAGAAACAAAGCUCCAUAUGGAUGAUGUUAUUAGAAACAGUAAUAUGUUAAUGCAUGACAAAUGGAUUAAUGUGAUGGUCAGUGGUUGGACUAUGGGUUGAUGGUUGGUCUAGCUGAUCACAGUGGUCUCUUCCAACCUUUAUGAUUCUACAUCUGUGCUCUUGAGAUAAGUGGAUGGGAGUUGCAUAGUUAAUCCUGCAGAAGUGUAUACUGUGAGGAAACAGGAUAAUGACCAGUGGGAAUUUAACGCGUAUGUUGAGCUUUUGUUUAACAGCACUGUUUAAAAAAAAAAACAAAUUGUAAUAUUAAUUGAUAUUGCUGACUGGCUGUAAUGGUGUGUAAUCAAUAAGCUGAGGUCAUUAUAGCCUUUUAUUGACAUUAAACCAUUUAU
ensembl:lncRNA